UACAGAGGUCUCAAGCGUUGUUCGGAAUCACUGGGCGUAAAGGGUGCGUAGGCGGCCCGGUAAGUCAGAGGUGAAAUCCCGGAGCUCAACUCCGGAAAUGCCUCCGAUACUGCCGUGCUUGAGGACUGGAGAGGAGUCUGGAAUUCACAGUGGAGCAGUGAAAUGCGUAGAUAUUGUGAGGAACACUAGUGGCGAAGGCGAGACUCUGGACAGUUCCUGACGCUGAGGCACGAAGGCCAGGGGAGCAAACGGG
rnacentral:rRNA from 1 species